rnacentral:rRNA from 1 species
GAUGAACGCUGGCGGCGUGCCUAAUACAUGCAAGUCGAGCGAACGGACGAGAAGCUUGCUUCUCUGAUGUUAGCGGCGGACGGGUGAGUAACACGUGGAUAACCUACCCAUAAGACUGGGAUAACUUCGGGAAACCGGGGCUAAUACCGGAUAAUAUUUUGAACCGCAUGGUUCAAAAGUGAAAGACGGUCUUGCUGUCACUUAUGGAUGGAUCCGCGCUGCAUUAGCUAGUUGGUAAGGUAACGGCUUACCAAGGCAACGAUGCAUAGCCGACCUGAGAGGGUGAUCGGCCACACUGGAACUGAGACACGGUCCAGACUCCUACGGGAGGCAGCAGUAGGGAAUCUUCCGCAAUGGGCGAAAGCCUGACGGAGCAACGCCGCGUGAGUGAUGAAGGUCUUCGGAUCGUAAAACUCUGUUAUUAGGGAAGAACAUAUGUGUAAGUAACUGUGCACAUCUUGACGGUACCUAAUCAGAAAGCCACGGCUAACUACGUGCCAGCAGCCGCGGUAAUACGUAGGUGGCAAGCGUUAUCCGGAAUUAUUGGGCGUAAAGCGCGCGUAGGCGGUUUUUUAAGUCUGAUGUGAAAGCCCACGGCUCAACCGUGGAGGGUCAUUGGAAACUGGAAAACUUGAGUGCAGAAGAGGAAAGUGGAAUUCCAUGUGUAGCGGUGAAAUGCGCAGAGAUAUGGAGGAACACCAGUGGCGAAGGCGACUUUCUGGUCUGUAACUGACGCUGAUGUGCGAAAGCGUGGGGAUCAAACAGGAUUAGAUACCCUGGUAGUCCACGCCGUAAACGAUGAGUGCUAAGUGUUAGGGGGUUUCCGCCCCUUAGUGCUGCAGCUAACGCAUUAAGCACUCCGCCAGGGGAGUACGACCGCAAGGUUGAAACUCAAAGGAAUUGACGGGGACCCGCACAAGCGGUGGAGCAUGUGGUUUAAUUCGAAGCAACGCGAAGAACCUUACCAAAUCUUGACAUCCUUUGACAACUCUAGAGAUAGAGCCUUCCCCUUCGGGGGACAAAGUGACAGGUGGUGCAUGGUUGUCGUCAGCUCGUGUCGUGAGAUGUUGGGUUAAGUCCCGCAACGAGCGCAACCCUUAAGCUUAGUUGCCAUCAUUAAGUUGGGCACUCUAAGUUGACUGCCGGUGACAAACCGGAGGAAGGUGGGGAUGACGUCAAAUCAUCAUGCCCCUUAUGAUUUGGGCUACACACGUGCUACAAUGGACAAUACAAAGGGCAGCGAAACCGCGAGGUCAAGCAAAUCCCAUAAAGUUGUUCUCAGUUCGGAUUGUAGUCUGCAACUCGACUACAUGAAGCUGGAAUCGCUAGUAAUCGUAGAUCAGCAUGCUACGGUGAAUACGUUCCCGGGUCU